rnacentral:rRNA from 1 species
CUACGGGAGGCUGCAGUGAGGAAUAUUGCGCAAUGGGGGGAACCCUGAUGCAGCAACGCCGCGUGGAGGAUGACGCAUUUCGGUGUGUAAACUCCUUUUAUAUGUCAAGAAAAUGACGGUAGCAUAUGAAUAAGCGCCGGCUAACUCCGUGCCAGCAGCCGCGGUAAUACGGAGGGCGCAAGCGUUACUCGGAAUCACUGGGCGUAAAGGACGCGUAGGCGGGGUGAAAAGUCAGGUGUGAAAGCCUACAGCUUAACUGUAGAACUGCACUUGAAACUCUCAAUCUAGAGUAUGGGAGGGGCAGAUGGAAUUAGUGGUGUAGGGGUAAAAUCCGUAGAUAUCACUAGGAAUACCUAAAGCGAAGGCGAUCUGCUGGAACAUUACUGACGCUAGGGCGUGAAAGCGUGGGGAGCAAACAGGAUUAGAUACCCUUGUAGUC